rnacentral:rRNA from 1 species
GACGAACGCUGGCGGCGUGCCUAAUACAUGCAAGUAGAACGCUGAGGAGGGGAGCUUGCUCUUCUUGGAUGAGUUGCGAACGGGUGAGUAACGCGUAGGUAACCUGCCUUGUAGCGGGGGAUAACUAUUGGAAACGAUAGCUAAUACCGCAUAACAAUGGAUGACACAUGUCAUUUAUUUGAAAGGGGCAAUUGCUCCACUACAAGAUGGACCUGCGUUGUAUUAGCUAGUAGGUGAGGUAAUGACUCACCUAGGCGACGAUACAUAGCCGACCUGAGAGGGUGAUCGGCCACACUGGGACUGAGACACGGCCCAGACUCCUACGGGAGGCAGCAGUAGGGAAUCUUCGGCAAUGGGGGCAACCCUGACCGAGCAACGCCGCGUGAGUGAAGAAGGUUUUCGGAUCGUAAAGCUCUGUUGUAAGUCAAGAACGGGUGUGAGAGUGGAAAGUUCACACUGUGACGGUAGCUUACCAGAAAGGGACGGCUAACUACGUGCCAGCAGCCGCGGUAAUACGUAGGUCCCGAGCGUUGUCCGGAUUUAUUGGGCGUAAAGCGAGCGCAGGCGGUUUGAUAAGUCUGAAGUUAAGGCUGUGGCUCAACCAUAGUUCGCUUUGGAAACUGUCAAACUUGAGUGCAGAAGGGGAGAGUGGAAUUCCAUGUGUAGCGGUGAAAUGCGUAGAUAUAUGGAGGAACACCGGUGGCGAAAGCUGCUCUCUGGUCUGUAACUGACGCUGAGGCUCGAAAGCGUGGGGAGCGAACAGGAUUAGAUACCCUGGUAGUCCACGCCGUAAACGAUGAGUGCUAGGUGUUGGAUCCUUUCCGGGAUUCAGUGCCGCAGCUAACGCAUUAAGCACUCCGCCUGGGGAGUACGACCGCAAGGUUGAAACUCAAAGGAAUUGACGGGGGCCCGCACAAGCGGUGGAGCAUGUGGUUUAAUUCGAAGCAACGCGAAGAACCUUACCAGGUCUUGACAUCCCGAUGCUAUUUCUAGAGAUAGAAAGUUACUUCGGUACAUCGGUGACAGGUGGUGCAUGGUUGUCGUCAGCUCGUGUCGUGAGAUGUUGGGUUAAGUCCCGCAACGAGCGCAACCCCUAUUGUUAGUUGCCAUCAUUCAGUUGGGCACUCUAGCGAGACUGCCGGUAAUAAACCGGAGGAAGGUGGGGAUGACGUCAAAUCAUCAUGCCCCUUAUGACCUGGGCUACACACGUGCUACAAUGGUUGGUACAACGAGUUGCGAGUCGGUGACGGCGAGCUAAUCUCUUAAAGCCAAUCUCAGUUCGGAUUGUAGGCUGCAACUCGCCUACAUGAAGUCGGAAUCGCUAGUAAUCGCGGAUCAGCACGCCGCGGUGAAUACGUUCCCGGGCCU